AACGAACGCUGGCGGCAUGCCUAACACAUGCAAGUCGAACGAAGGCUUCGGCCUUAGUGGCGCACGGGUGCGUAACGCGUGGGAAUCUGCCCUUUGCUUCGGAAUAACAGUUAGAAAUGACUGCUAAUACCGGAUGAUGUCGCAAGACCAAAGAUUUAUCGGCAAAGGAUGAGCCCGCGUAGGAUUAGCUAGUUGGUGGGGUAAAGGCCUACCAAGGCGACGAUCCUUAGCUGGUCUGAGAGGAUGAUCAGCCACACUGGGACUGAGACACGGCCCAGACUCCUACGGGAGGCAGCAGUGGGGAAUAUUGGACAAUGGGCGAAAGCCUGAUCCAGCAAUGCCGCGUGAGUGAUGAAGGCCUUAGGGUUGCAAAGCUCUUUUACCCGGGAUGAUAAUGACAGUACCGGGAGAAUAAGCUCCGGCUAACUCCGUG
rnacentral:rRNA from 1 species